rnacentral:rRNA from 1 species
GGAAUAUUGCGCAAUGGGCGAAAGCCUGACGCAGCGACGCCGCGUGAGGGACGACGGCCCUUGGGUUGUAAACCUCUUUCAGCAGGGAAGAAGGGAAACUGACGGUACCUGCAGAAGAAGCACCGGCUAACUACGUGCCAGCAGCCGCGGUAAUACGUAGGGUGCAAGCGUUGUCCGGAUUUAUUGGGCGUAAAGAGCUCGUAGGCGGUUUGCUACGUCGGAUGUGAAAACCCGGGGCUUAACUCCGGGCCUGCAUUCGAUACGGGCAGACUCGAGUGUGGUAGGGGAGACUGGAACUCCUGGUGUAGCGGUGAAAUGCGCAGAUAUCAGGAAGAACACCGGUGGCGAAGGCGGGUCUCUGGGCCAUUACUGACGCUGAGGAGCGAAAGCGUGGGGAGCAAACAGGAUUAGAUACCCUGGUAGUCCACGCCGUAAACGGUGGGCGCUAGGUGUGGGGAACCUUCCACGUUCUCCGCGCCGCAGCUAACGCAUUAAGCGCCCCGCCUGGGGAGUACGGCCGCAAGGCUAAAACUCAAAUGAAUUGACGGA